UUUUUUUUUGGGUUUGGAUUGGAAUAGAUUUUGACUGGUAGAACGAGUUAGCUUGCAAGCCUAGGUCAAGAAUAAAAUUCUUUACCUAAUAUAGAAAAAAUGGACUUCAACUUGGGGGCUGUGUUAAAUUCUUGUGUAUACCUGUAGAUAUUAAGCUUCAAGAUUUUCUUGAUGCACCCUGACACCAAGGAAAACAUCCUUAAUGAGAUGUAAUUUUCUGACUACUUCAUUCAUAUGCAUCCUAUCAUUUGGUAAUCUUGCAGAGCACAUAAGUCCAAUUUUCAGCAGGGAAAUAAUGCACUCCAUCUCUUUCCCACCAUUGCUAUUUUUCCCUCCAGGAGUCAUAUUUCUGUUUUCAUCUCCUUCAAGAAAAAGCAACGGGUCCGCUAUCUCAGAAACUCGUUCAUGCAAAGCCCCAUUAACAUAGUUAUGUAGAUCAAGAUCACCCACGAAUGUAUCAUCUGUUGGCCUCCUUCCUGUAAUCAUCUCUAACAAAAGAAUACCGUAGCUGUAGACAUCCCCCUGAGUUGAUGCCGCAAGACCCAUUCCAUACUCUGAGAUUUUGUUUCGAGACAUAUUAUUAUUGGGUAGUAAAAGAAAAACUAUAUAAAAGAAAUAAUUGAUUAAAAUUAAUCAAAUGUUAGAUUGGGGCAUAAUGGACCUCCUUUUAGAACAAAAUGACUUUAAUUCAAAUUAGCUACUAUGCAUCGGUGAUUAGAGAUCUCAUAGUAAUUAUAAUAAAAAAAUUAAAAAGAAUUAAAUGUCCCAAAGUUCUAUAUUUCUGCGCACAAUUAAGUAAAUUCUUGACCAUAAAAAUUUGUGUUACCUGAGGCUGCGUAGUCGAUUGUUCCUUUUAUAGCAAUAGUACUGCUGCCUUCUUGCUCGGAAGAUCUGUUGACGGGUUUCGGGAGAAGCCUUGCCAAUCCAAAAUCUACCACAUGAGCAACAAGAUCAUUGUCAAGAAAAAUGUUACUUGGUUUUAGAUCACAGUGAACAAUCUCAGCUUCGCAGUGGUUCUGAAGAAACUGCAAUGCAGAAGCCACAUCAAUUGCAAUGUUCAGCUUCUGAGAAAGAUUAAGACUUCUUGAGCUUGUUGCCUGAUCAGUUGUCUCUGAAGGAUGCAGCCACAAGUCCAGAUUUCCAUUUUCCAUCAACUCAUAGACUAGAGCUUUGAAUUCAUCACCCUUGGAAUCAAUACUGGAGCAAUAACGCACGACAGAAACGAGGUUUCUAUGGCGAAUAUUUCUCAAUGCUUUGCACUCCGCCUUAAAACUUUUCGAACCUCCAUUCUUUCGAAGAUCAAGAACUUUAACUGCUACAAGCUUGUUGCCAUGUUUUUCUAGCCUUCCUUUGUAGACAGCUCCAAAAUUUCCUGAACCAAUUAAGUUUUCUGGAGAAAAUCUAGAAGUUGCACGAAGAAGUUCAUGGUAAGAAAUUCGCAAGAGCUUAUUGACUCUUGUAGGCAUGCUAGAGAAUCCUGUCACCAUUCUUCUUUCUCUUUUUCGAUGUACCAAGAAAUAUAACAACAAUGCACCGAGAACCAGAAGCGUUGCUGGUAAAACAAUGGACAGCAAUAUGACAACCUUCAGCUUUCCUCUGUUUUUCCCCUUGAUCACUGGGCAAGGUGGGAACUCCAAUUCUGGAAUGCCUCCACAGAGUUUGUUAGGGCUGGCCCAGGAAAUAGACAAACUAAAGUUAGCACAAAUUAGGCGGUAUAACCGACCAUAUAAUAGAUAGGCGGUAGAUACCAGUCAUAUAAUAAUUAGGCGGUAAAACCGACCAUAUAAAGACGGAUAACAAAGCAAAUAAAAGACACAGAAGAUUUACGUGGUUCGGUCAAAUUGACCUACGUCCACGGACGAGGGAGGAGCAAUAUUUCUACUAUGAAAAAGAAAUACAAAAGACCGUAGGAAAGUGGUUCCUAGACCAAUAGGCACUUACAAAAGAGUUUAGAAAAUAUUCCUAAACUCAAAACAAGAGAGCCUAAAAUAUUUGACUGAAUGGGCUAAAUGACUCAAGAAACUAAUAGCCCAUAUUACUCUCUUGAGUGGUGCAAUUAAUUCCUUCAUAAAUCCCUUCUAUUUAUAGGCUCUCCAAUGAAGCCUUCCUGCUGUCUGCUGCGAUGUGGGAUGAAAGGAAGAAAACUUCCUUACGUAGCAUCUGAUGUGGGACGAAGAAUUUUGCCACACAAGGUCAAACCUUGCGGCACAACAGAGUUUGUUGUUGCCAGUCAAUGAUAUUUGACUUGCAAUACUGAAGACUCCAGUGUUCGGUAUCUCACCCUCGAUGUCGUUAUAGGAAAGGUUUAAGUACCUCAAAAAUUGAAGCUUCUCAAGUUCUUUGGGUAUUAGACCAGUCAAGUUAUUACUUGAAAGGUCUAAUUGUUGGAUGCUCUUCAAAGAAGCCAAAUUUGGUGGAAUUGUUCCUUGGAAAAAAUUGGCAUCCAUAUAAAGAUUCUCCAGAUCUGAACAGUCAGCAAGUGAGAUGGGUAUAGCUCCAGCAAGUUGGUUGUGGGAAACCGAGAAAUUCACCAUAUGUACAAGCUUUCCAACUUCAGGAGGCAGAGAACCAGUGAAAGAAUUUUCACUUAAUCCCAUAGCAAUCAGUGAUGAGUGCGUCUCCAGAAAAUGUGGUGAUAUAAAUCCAGUGAAGUUGUUUUGAGAUAUAUCCAGAAUUUGCAAAUUUUGACAGUUCAUAAGAACAUUGUCAAAUAUAUUGCCCCCUUCAAACUGGUUGGUCGACAAAUACAGCUCGGAUAGACCGGUGGCGUUGCAUAGAGUAGAGACCAUCUGUCCUGACAACUCAUUUAGGCUUAGACUUAGAAUUUGCAAAUUUUGUAAUUUGCCAAAAUCUCUUGGAAUGACCCCUGAAAGAUAGUUUUCUUCAAGGCCAAGUCGAAUUAGGUUGACAAAGUUUCCAAAUCCUUGUGGAAUGGUUCCUGACAGUUGAUUUGUUCCCAGGUACAAUUUAGUGAGUUGAUUUGAUAGAUUGCCCAUGACUUUAGGUAUAUUACCUCCAGAAUUAUUGUAACUCAAUGAAAAAGCGCUUAGAUCACUGCAGUUGGUCAAUGAUGCAAUAAAAUCUAAGUCUCCAGUUGAAUUACCGCCGAAGAGGUUUACUUCAAGAUUUAAAAAUUGAAGAUUUGUCAGAUCUCCUAAAUUAGUUGGAACUUGGCCUGCGAACUUAUUGCUGGAAAGAUCAAGUUCCUCAAGCCCAGAAGCAUUGGUGAUUGAAGUGGGAAAGUUUCCAGAGAAAUUAUCUCAAAUAAUCUGAAAAAUCUGAAAUGGAGAGCUUCCUUGAGUGUGGUACAACUUUUGUGCUCCCAAGUCAAUCGUGAACAGUGUAUCGCGCGUAGAGCUGCAAACGAGCCGAGUCGAGCUUUGAGCUAAUCGAGCCGAGCCUCAACUAAAUUUUACCAAGCUCGAGCUCGACGAGCCGGCAAAUUUCGAGCUCGAGCUCGACUCGAAUCAAGUCGAGCCGAGCUCGAGCUCGAGCUCGAGCUCAAAAAAAAAUAAAAAAUAAUUAUUUUAUUUUUUAAAAAAUAAAUAAAAUAAUAUUUUUUUCUUAAUAAAUAAUAAAAUAUUAAGGAUAUAUACAUAAUUUUACUCGAGCUAAAAAAAAAAUAAAAAAUAAUUAUUUUAUUUUUAAAAAAAUAAAUAAAAUAAUAUUUUUUUCUUAAUAAAUAAUAAAAUAUUAAGGAUAUAUACGUAAUUUUACUAUAAAAAUAAAAAAUAAAAAAAUAUAUAUAUAAUAUACGUAAUUUUAUUAUUAAAUAAAAAUAAAAAAAAUAUAUAUAUAUAUAUAUACCCAAGCUCGCGAGUCGGCUCGCGAGCUAACGAGCUUAAUAUUCUGAGCUCGAGCUCGAGCUCGAGUUUGACUCGAGCCGCUCGCGAGCAGCUCGAUUCGUUUGCAGCCCUAAUCGCGCGCGCGUUUCGCGCCCGUUUCCUCUGAGGUUUGUUUUGACUGUGCACUAAACCUCUAAUACACAUAUAUUCAUGUAAUUAUCAUUCACUCUUAAUGACCUCAAAAUAAGGUUCUAAAGUCCUUCAAAUAAAUCGCGCGCGUAAAACGCGUAUUUCCCACUUAUGCGCGAUAAGGUGAUUUUUUUGAGAAAUUCUUAUAACGAUGGCAUUUCUAACUAAUACAUGGAUAUUUAGGCAUAAAAAUACCUAUUUUAAGACUAGGGUAUAAAUCUCCCAUUAUUCGGGCUCAUGAACUCUCAAGUCAGUUACUAUUCCUGAGCCUACGGGCACUAUUCACACUUAACAACUUUCAAGACUUGAAUUGCGAACUAAUUGCCUUAAAAUUACUCAUGAGCUAUAAUGCUAUAGAAUUGGGUCCAAUAGGGCUAGAAAAUAAUAUUCGAAAUAAUUAAACAAUUAACUAAUUAAAUAACCUCAGAAUGGGAAUUUAAAAGAAAUAAAUUGCGAGUCCUCACAUUCCUGAUCUAACAUUUCUCCAACUUAAUUAUACCUUUUUAUAGCCUCUACAUAUACUAUAUUUCAACUUAGGACUAAUUCGCGCGUCGGUGCGCGAAAAUUCAACUUAGGGCUUUGCCAAACGCGAACCGUCAAUUAAAUCUUAAAAAUUCAAAUAAAUUGAAUUGUAACAUUUGAAUGAUUGAAAACAAUAUUAUUUAAAUAUAAAUACAUAUUAUUGGAUAAUUUUAAUAUUUUGAUUUAAUUUUCCAGAGGAUAAUAAAAUUUUUGAGGUCCUCACAUGAUUAAUUUUAGUUAAAAUGCUAAGUUAACCGAAUUAUUUUGUUAAUUUUGAGCAUUCCGUCGAGAAUGGUAUUUAAGCAGGAUGGAAUUUACCGUUUAAAGAGUAAAGUGUAGUUUAAGGAUGAAAAAGAUAGUCGAAGUAAAGAGUGCAAAGUAGAAUUAACACAAGUAAAAGUUAAAAUAACGGUGUUAUUUCAAACAAGUUGAAAAUGAGAUUGUUUAAUGAACAAAUUAUUAUUGGCAUAUAAAUAAGCAGGUUUUUAGAUACUUACAAAGUUUGAUAUUUAAAUGGGUUAUUAUAACUUUAUCCCCUUAAACUAUAUCAUUACUAUCAGUUUAUCCCCUAACGUUAUCUUUUAAUUACUUUACCCCUAUAAGUAAUUCAACUCAAUAUGUUAAGAAAUUUUGGACAAAAAUACCUUUUUAUUUUAUAGCAUUACUACAUUGUUAUUAUCACUUUAUUCGUUUAUAUUAUAGUGAUACAAUAACUUUAGUUCCUAACAUUAUUUUCUAUGCAUUUUACUUCAUCGUUAAUCUAACUAGUAUGGUAAAAAAAUUUUAAAUAUAUUUACCCUUUUUAUAUAUAAUUAAAAAUAAAAAAGUUGGAAUGGUUAUUCGUCUUCUUUUUUUUACUUUAAGUGAUCGAAAAACAUAAAAAUAAAAGGGUUUUCUCAAAUUUUUUUCACACUUAUUAAUACUAGGAAAAGAAAAAGAGAUAGAAAAAAAGAAGAAGAAAGAAAAUUAGAUUUUGCAAAGAAAGAAAAUAAAAAAAAGUCUAACAUUAUCGUAUUACAUUAAGGUUGUCGGGAUUAGAAUUUGGUAGUAAACAGAAAUGUGAAAUAAUUUUAAAAUAAUAAAAGUAUUUAAUUCUUUCUUAUUUGUAAUUUUUAAAAAAAGAAUUGAACUCUCUCCCCCUCCCCCUCCCCCUCCCCCUCUCCAUCUUUCUAUUCUUUUUUGAUAUUAAUAAAAUUGCCAAGAAAAAAGAAAUUAAUACUUUGAUUUUUUUUUUCUUACUACUAAAAAGGAGAAUAGCCACUAUAAAUUUUUUAUUAUUUUUAUUAUGCAAAUAGGAAGGUAUUUUCUACUAAAGUUUUUUAAUUUGCUAAGUUGGUUUAAUGGUAGGAUAAAUUGCCUAAAAAAUAACUCUAGAGGUAAAUUGAUAAUGAGACUAUAGUUUAUGGGGGUAAAGUGAUAAUAAUUUUAAGGGUUAAACAUGUCUAAUUAACAAACUCUGUUAAGUUUGACCGUUAGUUUUGGAGGUAAAGUGACUAAAAAAUAACGUUAAAUGGGAAAUUGAUAGUGGCACCAAACGUUAAGGGGGCAAAAUGAUAAUAAACCCUAUUUAAAUUCAAAGUCAGACAACUUGGCAUACCUCUAAACUCGUAAAUGUACACGUUAAUAGUGUAGAAAAGAUUAAAUACUUAAUGAUAUUAUACCUUCAUGUAAGUUGGUAUUUCACUUUGCUUCAUUAACUAAUUUUGUCAAAACAUUCCCUCAAAAAAGAAAAGGAAAGUUUUGUCAAAACAUUGCAGUUUGCCCCCUAUACACUUUUUUGCUUUUCCUUUUUCCCUGCUAAUGGAGUCUCUUAUUACUAUGAUGGCAGAAUGUUCCCAAUUGAUACCUUACCCAAUUUGUGCUUCUCCCAAAUUUUGACCCUAAGUUGGGCUGCCAGAGCCAGAGGACGCGACUUGCACAUGGAUAAAUUAUUCACUCAAAAAUCCUUUUCCCUUCUGAUUUUUUUUUUCUUGGCAGUUUCUCCAAUUAUUUAACAUUUUAUCUUUUUUUUUAAUUUCUCCUUCCUCUUCACUUCCUUCUUUAACUUUUCUUUCAACCCGAUAUUGCCUAGGUUACUUACUAGGCCCUACUAACAUUUUACGUUCAAAAUCAUCAAGAUAUGGCAUAAAAGUAUGAGCCCCACCAUGACUAGAUCCAUAGCUUUAAGAGGCAAGGUGACUUAAUUGAGCAAUAGAUGGAUAUGGUAAUAAGGGAACAUAUGAAUUUAUUGUACAAUUGAUCCUCUCCUUUUAUCCCCUUAUGUUGUUCUCAUUGUAACUGAAAUUUCAUAUAGUAGCAAAAUCAAAAUUCAAAGAAAGUGGGAGCAAGACUAUGCAUUGUAAGUAUAAUGUAUUGCAUAUUAUUUAAGCACUAGAUCCAAGCAUAAUAUGGAAGCAUUAAGAUGUUCAAGCAGAACUGAGCCAAUUGACUGCCUCCAAGAUCACCUAAUUCUAAGACUAUAGGAAUAUGUUUGAAUCAUCCAUUUAUAUUUUUAUUUUCAAAUAAAAAGCCAAAGGUGUCUUCUUCAUUAGCUCACCCCAUUAACAACUUCAGCUUGGAGAUUCAGACCUGUAAGUAGCUGCAAAUCAAGAAUUCAUGCAUAAGUAUGAGAAGCCAUCUUUUUCCAUGCUUGUAAGCACAACACAUAGCUUUUGCCUUUUUUUUUUUUUGGUUUGGACUGGAAUAGAUUUUGACUGGUAGAACGAGUUAGCUUGCAAGCCUAGGUCAAGAAUAAAAUUCUUUACCUAAUAUAGAAAAAAUGAACUUCAACUUGUGGGCUGUAUUAAAUUCUCGAGUAUACCUGUGGCUAUUAAACUUCAAGAUUUUCUUGAUGUACCCUGACACGAAGGAAAACAUCCUUAAUGAGAUGUAAUUUUCUGACAACUUCAUUCAUAUGCAUCCUGUCAUUUGGUAAUCUUGCAGAGCACUUGAGUCCAAUUUUCAGCAGGGAAAUAAUGCAGUCAAUCUCUCUUCCACCAUUAAUAGUUUCCCCCCCAGGAGUCAUAUUUCUGUUUUCAUCUCCUUCAAGAAAAAGCAAUGGAUCCACGAUCUCAUAAACUAGUUCGUGCAACGCCCCAUUAACAUAGUUAUGUAGAUCAAGAUCACCCACGAACAUAUCAUCUGUUGGCCUUCUCCCUGUAAUCAUCUCUAGCAAAAGAAUGCCGUAGCUGUAGACAUCCCCUUGAGUUGAUGCCGCAAGACCCAUUCCAUACUCUGAGAUUUUGUUUCUAGACAUGUUAUUAUUGGGUAGUAAAAGAAAAAACUAUAAAAAAAAAAACUAAGUGAUUAAAAUUAAUCAAAUGUUAGAUUGGGGCAUAAUGGACCUUCUUUUAUAACAAAGUGACUUGACUAAAAUUAGCUACUAUGCAUCAGUGAUUAGAGAUCUCCUGUAAAUCUGAAAAAAAAAAUUUAAAAGAAUUAAAUGUCCCAAAAGUUCUAUAUUUCUGUGCACAAUUAAGUAACAUCUUGACCAUAAAAGGUAGUAAAUUAUAAUUACCUGGAGCUGCAUAACCGAUUGAUCCUUUUAAGGCAAUAGUACUGCUGGUUCUUUGCUCGGAAGAAGUGUUGACGGGUUUUGGGAGAAGCCUUGCCAAUCCAAAAUCACCCACAUGAGCAACAAGAUCAUUGUCAAGAAGAAUGUUACUUGGUUUUAGAUCACAGUGAACAAUCUCAGCUUCGCAGUGGUCGUGAAGAUAUUGCAAUGCUGAAGCCACAUCAAUUGCAAUAUUUAGCUUCUGAGAAAGAUUAAGACUUCUUGAGCUUGUUGCCUGAGCAGUUGUCUCUGAAGGAUGCAGCCACAGGUCCAGAUUUCCAUUUUCCAUGAACUCAUAGAUUAGAGCUUUGAAUUCAUCACCCUUGGAAUCAAUACUGGAGCAAUAACUCACGAUAGAAACGAGGUUUCUGUGGCGAAUAUUUCUCAAUGCUUUGCACUCGGCCUUAAAACUUUUCGAAGCUCCGUUCUUUUGAAGAUCAAGAACUUUAACUGCUACAAGCUUGUUGCCAUGUUUUUCUAGCCUUCCUUUGUAGACAGAUCCAAAAUUUCCUGAACCAAUUAAGUUUUCUGGAGAAAAUCCAGAUGUUGCACGAAGAAGUUCAUGGUAAGAAAGCCGUAAGAGCUCAUCGAUUCUAGGGGGCAUGAUAGAGAAUCCAGCCACCAGUCUUCUUUCUCUUUUUCGAUAUACCAAGAAAUAUAACAACACUGUAACAAGGACCAGAAGCGUUGCCGGUAAAACAAUGGACAGCAAUAUGACAACCUUCAGCUUUCCUCUGUUUUUCCCCUUAAUCACUGGACAAGGUGGGAACUCCAAUUCCGGAAUGCCUCCACAGAGUUUGUUGUUGCCAAUCAAUGAUAUUUGACUUGCAUUGCUGAAAAUCCCUGUGUUUGGUACCUCUCCCUCGAUGUUGUUGUAGGAAAGGUUUAAGUACCUUAAAUAUUGAAGCUUCUCAAGUUCUUUUGGUAUUGAUCCAGUCAAGUUAUUACGUGAAAGGUCUAAUUUCUGGAUGCUCUUCCAAGAAGCCAAAUUUGGUGGAAUUGUUCCUUGGAAAAAAUUGGCCUGCAUGGAGAGAUUCGCCAGAUUUGAACAAUCAGCAAGUGAUAUGGGUAUAUCUCCAGCAAAUUGGUUGUGGGAAACAUUGAAAUCCACCAAAUGUAUAAGCUUUCCAACUUCAGGAGGUAGAGAACCACUAAAUGAAUUUUCACCUAUUUUGAUGUACAUCAGUGAUGAUGAGUGCGUCUGCAAAAAUUGUGGUGAUAUAAUUCCAGUGAAGUUGUUAUGAGAUAUAUCCAGAUAUUGCAAAUUUUGACAGCUCAUAAGAACAUUGUCAAAUAUAUUGCCCCCUUCAAACUGGUUAAAUGAUAAGUUCAGAUGGUAUAGACGUGUGGCAUUGCAUAGGGUAGAGACUAUCUGUCCUGACAACUCAUUUUGGUAUAGACUUAGAAGUUGCAAAUUUUGUAAUUUGCCAAAAUCUCUUGGAAUGACCCCUGAAAGAUGGUUUUCUUCAAGGCCAAGGAGAUAUAGGCUGACAAAAUUUCCAAAUCCUUCUGGAAUAGUUCCUGACAGUUGAUUUCCCCCCAAGUACAAUUGAGUGAGUUGAUUUGAGAGAUUGGACAUGACUCUAGGUAUAUUACCUCCAAAUUUAUUGAUACUCAGGGCAAGGAUUCUUAGAUUACUGCAGUUGGUCAGUGAUCCAAUAAAACCCAAGUCGCCUCUAGAAUUACUGCCGAAGAGAUUAUCACUAAGAGAUAAAACAUUAAGUUGUGUCAGAUCUCCUAAAUUAGUUGGAAUUUGGCCUGCAAACAUAUUUUGGUCGAGAUCAAGUAUCUGAAGCCCAGAAGCAUUGGUGAUUGAAGUUGGAAAGUUUCCAGAGAACUUGUUUUCCCCAACAGCUAAUAGUUUCAGAUUUGGUAGGGUGAGACCUAUGUUGGUUGGGAGAUUACCAUAAAAGGAAUUUUCGGGUGCUGAAAUGGUAGUAAUGGCUGAACUAUUAAAGAUAGAAGCAGGGAUUGUACCAGAGAGUUUAUUUUCUGCAAUUCCUAAUUUAGCUAACCUUUUUAAGAGCCCCAUUUCCAUGGGCAAAUUUCCCUCCAGAUUGUUAAAGCCAAGACUGAGUGCAGUCAAUGAUGAUAAGUUACCAAUGCAGGAGGGAAUCUCUCCUGUAAAAUUGUUUGCGUGAAGAUAAAAAAUUUCAAGCUUCUUCAAAUUGCUCAGCUGAUCAAUCGGAAUUUUCCCCUCUAGCUUGUUCAUCUUUAGGUUAAUAGUCGUCAUCUCUAGGCAGUAGCUCAGGUUUGCUGGGAUUUUUCCACUGAUUGCGUUACUUGAGAGGUUCAAGACUCUCAGCCUGAAGAGGCGACCAAAUUCUUGGGGAAUCUCACCAUGGAAUUGAUUCUCCUCAAGAUGGAUGAGCCUCAUGAAGCUUAGAUUUCCGACAUGAGGAGAUAUGGUUCCAGACAACUGCUUAUGCCUUAGAAUCAAGGCUAUGACCCUUUGAUGUCGAGUACCACAAGUGACUCCUUCCCACUGGCAAUGGUGCUGUGAGUAGCUCCAAGAAUUCAGGACUCCAAACGGGUCAUCAUAUAUCUGCUUCUUGAAUUCAAGCAGAGCAAGGCGAUCGGUCUCAUUUUGAAAAUGUUUUGCAGCUGAAAAGUUCACGGCAACUGAGAGUAGGAGAAAAAUGCCCGCUAAUGUUGAUGAUGAGCGAAAUCCCCACAUGGUAUUUGGAAUUUGGAUGAGCUGUGAAGGCAAAGAUGGAUUAAUUUGCAACAAACUGAUGAUUGAAUGAUAAAAGUUUCUGCGGAAUGGGAACAAUAAUGUUUGAGCUGUUAUAGAAUCGUGUGUAUAGCCCACGCAAUUGGAACUAAUUUUCUUGGUAUAUUUCUGCGGAAAAUGAGCUAAACCUCGUUGUCAGAACUUAAUACAGAAAUGGUCAGUAAGCUUCCACCAACUUGCAAUUUACGCAUAUCGACCAUGACUAAUACUUUUCAAAGCUGGGAUUAAUGUGAUCAUCUACCAGAUCGAGAUGAUGAUUAACAGGAAGCCUUCAUUUGUGUGGAGUAUUUGAUCUUCCCAAUUAACACAAAUCACAAGAAUCUUGAUAUGCUAGAAUCUGUCGGUUGGCUUAGGUGAGUUCUGUUUAAUCUGUUCCCAAAUUUUCCCCUUUUUAUGUUGUUUUAAUGCCAUUUUCUCAAAAAAAAAAAAAAUUUAAUUUGUUUAAAAAGAAGGGUUUGUUUUUUAUGUUAUAAUUUUUAGUUUUUUUCUUUUUUUUUUUUAUGUUAACUUAAUGUCAUAUGUGCAUAAUCAGACUGUCAUCCUGAAGCUAAUUUGCUUCAUUUUAGAAUGUGUGAUAGACAAGAAAAAGUUUUUUUUUUUCCAAAACAUGAGAGACAAUUUGGUGGUCCCAAGAUUUUUAAUGAAACGGAAAAAUACUUAGUGAAGACUAUCAUUUAAGGUAGCAUGUACGGUCCGCAGCUGGGAAAAUGGUUAUUGGUCCUUUACGUAUCAAUUUGGAAAAUGACCAAUACACCAAUUCGAAAAAAUACACCAAUACACCAAUACCCUUGAGUCUGCUCAAGGGUGACAGUUUGCUCUGUUUGCUUUUUUUUUCUUUUUUUUUUUUUCAAGAAAUCCACCUUGAGAUGGUAGAAAUUUUGCAUGUAAUCCUUCCAGUUUGCUGAGAAAUAAAUGAAAAUAAAAUGAUUGAGCAAACAUAAAAGCCUAAUUUUCCACAUUACAUAUCAAACACCAGGGGCCUUGGCUUAGCAACGAGACCAAGUCCCGAUCACUUGUUCACGCUGCUAUUUCUUCUACCUGUGCAUUUACUUAUCUAUUUAUGUUUUCUUGUUGUACAUUCUUCUUAUUUUUUCCUUUUAAUUGAACAAUAAAGUCCAUGAAGCCAGUUAAAACUUAGAAUUAAUAACAAAGUUCUUUUCAUUUUCAUUUUUUUUGUUCAUCAAUAAAUAGAGGGUCAGUUUGUAGUCAAAAUCCUACUGUUUUAAAUCUUGAAACAUGCAUUAAUUAUCCACUAAAUCAUAAGCUCAUUCUCAUUUAGCAAACAACUCCGCAUUCUGCAGUAAACUCAAAGCAGAAAAUUUUCCAAGUAAUGUAUCACUGCUAGACAGUUUUUUUUUUUCAUCAGAAUUUUGAUGUAUUUUUUAAAAAGGUUAUGACCCUUUUCCCCGAUGAUGAUGAUGAUGAUGAAAAUAAUAAUGGUAAUAACCCCAGUGCACUGAAGCCAAACAUAAGCCCCAUUUGGUAAGUGAGUUUUUUGGGAAUUUGUCUAAAAUUUUACUGUAAUUUACUGAAGAAUUUAUAGAAAAAUUUUUUGAAGUGUGUAAAAAUUUCUUUAAGAAAAGAAAAACUUUCCUCUUUUUUCUCCUUUCUUUCCUUUCCGCUUCUUCUCCCCCACGCCACCGCAAUCUUUUUCUCCCUCCCACCUCACUAACUGCCCGUCCUUGCCAGCUACCAGCGGUAGAAACUUUCUUUUUCUCUCUCUCCAUCCUACCUCUCCUUUUUUUUUCUUUUCCCCUUUCUUUCCUUUCCUCUUCUUCUCCCUCACUCCACUGCAAUCUUCAUCUCCCUCCCUCUAUCUCCUCCUUCCCUUCUCCUCUCCCCUCUAUCUCCUCCUUCCCUUCUCUACUUCCUUCCUCUCCCCUCUUUCCCUUCUCCUCCUUCCCCUCUAUUUCCUCCACCCUCUCCUCCCCUCUGCCCCCGCCAUCUCCUUCCCCCUCCCUUCCCCGAUCAUGACUAGAUAUGGCAACUGCUUAUUCCUUAGAGUCAAGGCCGUUGUUAAUAAACCCGAAUCGACUCAACGAUUGAACCGGUAGGUCCGGUGACCCGACCAUUAGACCAACGGGGUCUCUAGUUUGAUCGGACAAGAAAUUGACCUGGUCAAACCCGAUUGACCCGGUAGUUCAACCGGAAACCCAGCCAAUUUUUCAAUUGACCCGAUUAACUUUUUUUUUUUUUUUUAAUUAUGGGUCUUUGUUUUUGAAACAAAAUGUAUAUAUGCUUUUGAUAAGGUUUGUAUACUGGAUCUUCAUUUAAAUAUAUAUAGACUUUACCACUUGUUUAGUUUUUAUUUAACAACUAAAUUUUUUUUAAUAAACUUGUUUAUUUUUUAUUAUACAAUUAAUCUUUUUAACUUUUAAACUGACAAUAUUUGAUUAGUUAGAAAAUUACUUUGUUUUUAAAUAAUAAUAAAAAAUAAUGCUAUAUUAUUGAAAAAAAACAAUAUAAAUUUUGUUUUAUACUUGACUAUAUUAUUUAUUUAUUUAAAAGUAUGAUAAAGUGAAAUUAAAUCUUCUAUUAAUAUCUAUAUAUUUAUUAUAUAUCUUUCUAAGUAUAUCAUUAGUAUCUAAAAGUACUUUAUUUUAUGUAUAUUAAAAUUACUAUUUUAUAUUUAUAAAUGUUAAAUUAAUACUUACCGGUUCAAGUAGUUAUCCCGUCCCUUUGCCGGAUUUCUUAUCAGGCCGGAUUUAAUAGCCACUCAAGGCUAUGACCCUUUGAUGUCGAGUACUACAGGUGACUCCUUCCCACUGGCAAUGGUGUUGUGAGUGGUUCCGGGAUUUCAGCACUCCAAACGGGUCAUCAUAUAUCUGAUUCUUGAACUCAAGCAGAGCAAGACGAUCAGUCUCAUUUUGAAAUUGUUUAGCAGCUGAAACAUGGCUUACUGAAAAGUUCAUGGCAACUCAGAGUACGAGAAAUAUGUUUGCUAAUGUCGAUGUGCGAAAUCCCCACAUGGUCCUUGUUGGGAUCGGCUACAAACUGAUGAUUGAAUGAUAAAAGUUUCUGUGGAUUGGGAACACGGUUGAGCAGUUAAAGAUUAGAGCUUAAUAAAGAAAUGGUCAGAAUUAAGCAUAUCGACCGUGAUCCAAUUCCUGGUACCGGUAGUUUUUCAAGCCACGAAAAUUACUUGCAAAGCAGAUCGGAAACAAUUAGAAGAUAAAUUCCCAAUGUUUUGCAUUAUGAAUCAUUCAUUCGUUAACCCGACAAAUUCUUAUCAAAGCAAAAGCUAUCUCUAGUGAAUUUUUCAUUGAUAUAUUAUUGAUCCAAAGUAAUUGUACAUCUAUAAAUAAAAUGAUGGAUUCUUAUGAUUUAACAAAAGGGAAAAUUGAUCGAAAAGCUUCUCAUAUUUUAUUAAAUAAAUUUUGUCAUUCCUGAUUUUUAAAUUAUUGACCUUACAUCGCUUACAAAAUCUAAAUCGAUCAAAUUUAGUCUCAAUUGGAUUCUCCGUAAAUUAUGAUGCAGUAUGAGAGAUGAUCAAUAGUCUUCCCAGUUUGGCCCACAAUUAAAAUCAAAUUUAACGGAAGAUGGACUCUCAACUUAGUCUAUCGUCAUCCGAACCAAUACCGAUGGGGGCCAUUCAGUGACUGGAUUAAUGAAUCAUAAUUCAAGACCCAUAAAUGAAACUAAAAAUUUUCCACACGAGUGAUUAUGAACCCCCUAGGGCUCUUUGCCAAGGGCCCAGUUAGCAGACUUAUUAAAUUGGGCAAACUGUACUAAUACCGGCUGAACCUUUUGAAAAAAUUUCUUAUUUUGUUCGCUUGAUUUUUUUUUCCCCAAUUCCAUUUGAUCAUUUAGCUUAGCUUAGAUGCCUCGUCUUUCCCAUUCGUCUAAUUUCUGCCUUUAUCUCACUGAUUAAAAGUUCCCAGAUUUAAUAUGGUAUCUACUCCAGAGACAUUUUCAUCUAUUGUUUUCGUCUGUUUAGAUCUAGAAAUGAGACAUACUGAUAAGAUAUGGGUAUUAAGUAUCGGAUUAAUAGAUGAAAUUGGAUGAAAUGGGCAAAAUAUGAUAUUUACUAUUAGGGUUUUUCUAACGGACGCCUUAAGGUACUCGAUAACACAUUUAAUAUUCACCUAACCUAUCAUAUAUAUAUACACACAUAUAUACACGUAUACUAACAAUCAUUAUCCUCCAUUGCAUUUAUAUACUUUCUCUAUUUAAUUUGGCUUACCAUCCCUUGUAUUUAUUUACUUUUUCUAAUUAACACCUGAAAUAUUGUUUAACGAUGCCCUAUAAAACAAACUGUUACUAUUAUUGUAUAACCUAUUUGAGACACCCCCAACAAAAUAGGAAUACAAAUAAAAAAGGUUAGUACAUUUAGACUGAUUAUGCAGGUGAUGAUGCAUAUGAUUAUCAUGUCUUUUAAUACUAAAUGAAGUUUUUUUUUUUUUUUUUUUAUGACCACCAUGGCCAUCGAUAACUUGAUCGGGCAAUGUAUGGAUAUGCUAGCAAGGGAACAUAUGGGCUUUUUGUGCAAUUGAUUCCUGUCCUCUACCCCUUUAUGUCGUUCUCAUUGUGACUAAGGCUCCGUUUGAUAACACUGAAUCUGAAUUCUGAAUUCUGAAUUCUGAAUACUGAAAUAAUUAAUUUGCUGAAUUUUAAGCACUGAAAAGAUAUAUAUGAAUGUCUGAAUCUUAAUGCUGAAUCUAUUUAUACUGUUUGAUAAAUAUUCAUAACUUAAUGCUUAAUAAGCUAAAUUGUACAAUUUUGUCCUUCUAUCUUUUAAUUCAAAAAGGAAAUAGAACCUAUGAUUUAAUUAAUUUAAAAUUGUUAGGUAUGAAAAUGACAAUGAUUGUGAAGAGCAAUUCAUACAAUGACAAUGUUUCUUUGUGUGGGAAAAGGGUAUGAUUUCAUCGUUUUGAAAAUGGGAAAAUGAGCUUUUAAUACUCCAAAAGCACGUUCAAUUACAUUUCUCAAUCUUGCAUGUGCUUGGUUAAAGCGUUCUUCUUUUGAUCUUGGACGAUAAGCAUUUCGAAAAUCAGACAACCAAUAUCUAAUAUUUCGAUAUGGUGUCAUAAAGCCACGUGUGUGGAUAAGCUGCAUCACAUAAAUAAUAUUUAUCUGCACAAAAAAAUAUCAAAAUAUAAAUGUUUGUGGAUGAAAAUUACUGCAAAAAAAUACUACUAUUGUUAAAAAAAAUUUUUGAAUAGAGAAUAUCAGGUUGUUUUGUUUAAUUAGAUAAGGAUUUUGAAUAGGGAAUAUUAGGUUGUUUAAUUAAAUAAGGAUUUUGAAUGUAAUUAACAAAUAGGGAUAUAUUUGGUAGAUAAGAUAAAGCAGUUGAAGUAAAUCUCUUGAUUCUUAUCAAAUUAAGCAUUCAGCUACGAUUCUUGUGCUGAAAAAAAUACAUACAAAUUCAGCACCACUUAAUAAGUUCAGCAAGUGAAUUUUUAUUUAUCAAACACUCAUAACAUCUGAAUGUCUGAAUGAAUUCAGUUUCAGCACUUUUUUAUGUUAUCAAACAGGCACUAAGAUUUCAUGUGGUAGCAAAAUCAACAUUCAAAGAAAGGCAUGCUAAUGUAAAUCAAUCAUAGGAGCAAGAGCAUGCCCUGUAAUUAAGUACUGUACGAUUUAUUGUAUAAUGUUUAUUAUGGAAACAUAAGAUUCAAAACAUUCAGUUCCUAUAAAGAAAGAGCAUACCACAUGAACAGCUAUCAGUUCAGUUCAUAUUUGAGUCGUCCAUUUAAUUUUUUAAAUAAGAGAGCCAAAGGUGUCUUCUUUAGCUGCUCACACAGCUAUCAACUUCAGCUCAGAGAUUCAGACCAACAAACAGCUGCAAAUCCAGAUACAUCUUUUUCCACGCUAGUGAGCACAACACAUAAUUCCUUUUUUUUUUCUUUUUCUUUUGGCUAAAAUAGAUUCUGAAUGGUAGAAGUGAGUUAGCUUGCAAGACUGGUCAAGAAAAAAUCGUUUAUCUAAAAUAGAAAAACUGAACCUCAAUUUGUGACUGUAUUAAAUUCUCAUAUAUACCAGUUGCUAUUAAACUUCAAGAUUUUCCUGAGCUACCCUGACACCAAGAAAAACACCCUUAAUGAGAUGUAAUUCGCUGACAACUUCAUUCAUGUGCAUCCGAUCAUUUGGCAAUCUUUGUGAGCAUUUGAGGCCGAGUUCCAACAGGGAAAUAACACACUCCAUCUCUCUUCCACCAUUGAUCAUUCUUCUGUUUCCAUCUCCUGCUUUACAAAGAAUCAAGGGGUCCACGAUCUCACAAACUUGUUCAGACAGAGCUCUAUUAACAUAGUUAUGCAGAUCUAGCUCAUCCAUAAACAUAUCAUCCGUUGGCCUCCUCCUAGUGAUCAUCUCUAGCAAGAGAAUCCCAUAACUGUAGACAUCCCCAAGAGUUGAUGCCGCAAGACCCAUUCCGUAUUCUGAACUUUGUACAAGAAAAUCUUUAAAAAAUAGGGAAAAUUAUCUAAGGGAGAUAAUUGGAUCAAUUGUUUAGACAUAUAAUUUAGGGAAGGGGUGGGUUGGGCUGAACCUCCUACUUAUAAUAAUUAAAACAAAACCUAUAAUUUGAGAGUUUGAUUAGUCUGCACACAAUUAAGUAAAAUCUUGACAACAAAAAUUUGCAUUACCUGUGGCUGCGUAACCGAUUGUUCCUUUUAUAGCAAUGGUACUGCUACCUUCUUGCUCGGAAGAUCUGUUGACGGGUUUCGGGAGAAGCCUUGCCAAUCCAAAAUCACCCACAUGUGCAACAAGAUCACUGUCAAGAAGAAUGUUACUUGGUUUUAGAUCACAAUGAACAAUCUCUGCUUCACAGUGGUUGUGAAGAUACUGCAAUGCUGAAGCCACAUCAAUUGCAAUGUUCAGCUUCUGAGAAAGAUUAAGGCUUCUUGAGCUUGUUGGUUUAUCAGUUGUCUCUGGAUGCAGCCACAGGUCCAGAUUUCCAUUUUCCAUAAACUCAUAGACUAGAGCUUUGAAUUCAUCAUCCUUGGAAUCAAUACUGGAGCAAUAACUCACGAUAGAGACAAUGUUUCUAUGGCGAAUAUUUCUCAAUGCUUUGCACUCGGCCUUAAAACUUGUGGAAGCCCCAUUCUUUCGAAGAUCAAGAACUUUGACUGCUACAAGCAUAUUGCCAUGUUUAUCUAGCCUUCCUUUGUAGACAGCUCCAAAAUUUCCUGAACCAAUUAAGUUUUCUGGAGAAAAUCCUGAAGUUGCACGAUGAAGUUCAUGGUAAGAAAUUCGCAAAAGCUCAUCGAUUCUUGGGGGCAUGCUAGAGAAUCCGGCCACCGGUCUUCUUUCUCUUUUUCGAUAUACCAAGAAAUAUAACACUGUCACAAGAACCAGAAGCGUUGCCGGUAAAAGAAUGGACAGCAAUAUGACAACCUUCAGCUUUCCUCUGUUUUUCCCCUUAAUCACUGGGCAAGGAGGGAACUCCAAUUCUGGAAUGCCUCCACAGAGUUUGUUGUUGCCAAUCAAUGAUAUCUGCCUUGCAUUGCUGAAAAUCCCUGUGUUUGGUAUCUCGCCCUCGAUGUCGUUGUAGGAAAGGUUUAAGUACCUCAAAUAUUGAAGCUUCUCAAGGUCCUUUGGUGUUGGACCAGUCAAGUUAUUACUUGAAAGGUCUAAUUGCUGGAUGCUCUUCCAAGAAGCCAAAUUUGGUGGAAUUGUUCCUUGGAAAAAAUUGGAUUGCAUAUAAAGAUUCUCCAGAUCUGUACAAUCAGCAAGUGAUAUGGGUAUAUCUCCAGCAAAUUGGUUGUGGGAAACAUUGAAAUCCACCAAAUGUAUAAGCUUUCCAACUUCCGGAGGCAGAGAUCCACUAAACGAAUUCUCACCUAUUUUCAUGUACAUCAGUGAUGAGUGCGUCUGCAGAAAAUGUGCUGAAAUAAUUCCAGUGAAGUUGUUUUGAGAUAUAUCCAGAUAUUGCAAAUUUUGACAGUUCAUAAGAACAUUGUCAAAUAUAUUGCCCCCUUCAAACUGGUUAAAUGAUAAGUCCAGAUAGAAUAGAUUGGUGUUGUUGCAUAGGGUAGAGACUAUCUGUCCUGACAAGUCAUUAUGGUCCAGACGCAAUCCUUGCAAAUUUGGUAACUUGCCAAAAUCUCUUGGAAUAAUCCCUGAAAAAGAGUUCACUUCAAGGCCAAGUUGAAUUAGGUUGACAAAGUUUCCAAAUCCUUGUGGAAUGGUUCCUGACAGUUGGUUUCCUCCCACGAGCAAUUCAGUGAGUUGAUUUGAGAGAUUGGCCAUGAUUUUAGGUACAUUACCUCCAAGUUUAUUGCCACUCAAGGAAAGAAUUCUUAGAUUACUGCAGUUGGUCAGUGAUGCAAUAAAAUCCAAAUCUCCUGUAGAAUUAUUGCCGAAGAGAUUGUGAUAAAGAUUAACACUUUUGAGUUGUGUCAGAUUUCCUAAAUUAGCUGGAACUUGGCCUUCAAACUUAUUGCGGGAAAGAUCGAGUACCUCAAGCCCAGAAGCAUUGGUGAUUGAAAUUGGAAAGUUUCCCCCAACACCUAAUUCUUCCAGAUUUGGUAAGGUGAGACCUAUGUUGGUUGGGAGAUUGCCAUGAAAGGAAUUGCCGGCCACUGAAAUGACAGUAAUGGCUGAACUAUUAAAGAUGGAGGCAGGGAUUAUACCAGAUAGUUUAUUUUCUGCAGCUGAAAAUAUAGAUAACCUUUUUAAGAGCCCCAUUUCCAUGGGCAAAUUUCCCUCCAGAUUGUUAAAGGCAAGACUGAGUGUAGUCAGCGAUGAUAAGUUCCCAAUGGAGGAGGGAAUCUCUCCUGUCAAAUUGUUUGCGUGAAGAUAAAAAUUUUCAAGCUUCUUCAAAUUGCUCAGCUGAUCAAUCGGAAUUUUCCCUUCUAGCUUGUUCUCGAUUAGGCUAAUGGUUAGCAACUCUGAGCAGUAGUUCAAGUUUGCCGGGAUUUUUCCACUGAUUGCGUUACUUGAGAGGUUCAAGGCUCUCAGCCUGAAGAGGCGACCGAAUUCUUGGGGAAUCUCACCAUGGAAUUGACUCUCCCCAAGUUCCAUAAACCUCAUGAAGCUUAGAUUUCCGACAUGAGGAGAUAUGGUUCCAGACAACUGCUUAUCCCUUAGAGUCAAGUACUGCAGGUGACUCCUUCCCACUGACAAUGGUGUUGUGAAUGGUUCCAAGAAUUCAGGACUCCAAACGGGUCAUCAUAUAUCUGCUUCUUGAAUUCAAGCAGAGCAAGGCGAUCGGUCUCAUUUUGAAAUUGUUUAGAAGCUGAAACAUGGCUUACUGAAAAGAUCAUGGCAACUAAGAGAAGGAGAAAUAUGUUUGCUAAUGUUGAUGAUGAGCGAAAUCCCCACAUGGUAUUGGGAACUUCCAUGAGCUGUUGGAUGCGAAGAUGGAUUAAUUUGCAACAAAUUGAUGAUUGAAUGAUAAAAGUUUCUGCGGAAUGGGAACAAUGUUUCUGCGGAAUGGAAUGGGUAGUUCUGCUUAUAUUAGCCCAAACAACUGGAACGAAAUAAUUUCUUGGUAUAUUUUCGAGUAAAAUGAGCUAAACUUCGUUUUGAGAACUUAAUGCAGAAAUGGUCAGCGAGCUUCCACCAACUUACAAUUUAGUAACCUAAUAAAACAAACACGCAAGAUGAUUAUUGGUCCUUUACGUAUCAACGACCAUCAAUUUGGAAAAUGGCCUAGACAGCGACUUUAUAGAAAUCAAAUGCGCUUCUAUUUCUAAAUUCUAGCGUGCAUUUUUCAGUCAAUCUGCCUAGGGGAGUCAGUUGCUCUGCUCUAAGUCUACACAAACAUACAAAACUGAGCACAAAUAAUUUAUCUGAGGUUGGAGAAAAUGUAUUCUUUUUUCUUGACCUAAACAAUAAAAGUAUUCUCUUUGUCUUAGUUAGUUAUAUUUUUAUUCCUUUUUCCUCAUCUUCUAAUUGACAACCAACCUAAUGUCUUCUCUCAACUUACACUUCUUUGUGUGUUUUACGAGAUGUCAACCACAAUUUUUGCGAUGACUAGUCAGCGGCGGAUUUGUAUGUAGGGGCAUGGAGCACCGAAUUCCAUUAGUAUAGCCUUCAAUUUUAGUAAUUUUUUCGCUUUGCCCCCCAAUAAAUUUUCCUCAAAAGUGAAUGCACCGCUCCAAAAUCAAAUGACUAGGUUUGCAAUUUGAUGGAAUUGGAAUACUAAACAAUUCAAAAUCAAAUGCUUUUUACUCUAAUCAUUUGGUUUCCUUGAAAGUCAUUUUAAUUUACUACUCAUUAAUUAAAUACUUUCUUUGGACUUUUUCCAAUAAAAUAAAUAUGGAAUUAAGUAAUCCUUUGUGAAAUGAACAAUAAAGAGAAAGCAAUAUUUUCCAAUACAGCAUACUUAACAAUAUCGUAGGCAAACGAGCAGAUUAAAAAUGUUUAGCAUGCUUUUUUAAAAGAAAAUGAUUAUUUUAUUAGUAAGUUUUAGCAUGUCAUUUUGGGUUAUAUUAAUCAUGAUAUGCAUGUAUUACAUUUACUUGUUAUACAAAUGCUAUUGUUAUGGCUUUCAGAAAAAAAAAAAAAAGAAGAAACUUUAAUAUUAAUUUUGCUUCUGCUAGAAAUUAUUUCUGGCUCUGCGCUGUGACUAGAGGUGGCAAAUCAACCCACUUAACUAAAUUUACCCAUACCCGUCCGUGAAUAGAUGGGUAUGGGUAUCUUAAAUUUUUGUAUAUGGGUAUAAAUGGGUUACCCAAUAAUACUCAUUUAUUAAAUGGGUAUUAUUGAGUAACCCAUCAAACCCAAUUAACCCAUUUAGAAUUCUCUUCCCCCCAAGUCUCUUCUUUACCCCCACCUUUUUUGUUUCAAAUUUUUUAUUUUGUCAUGAUGUUAACUACUUUUGUUUCAUUAUUAUUAUUAUUAUUAUUAUUAUUAUUAUUAUUAUUAUUAUUAUUAUUAUUUGUUGGUUUUAUCUUAUUAUUUUAUUUUCUCUUAGUUUGUUAACUUGCUCAUUUUUUAGCAUUACCAAUUUAUGAUAAAUUUUAGCCUAUUUUCUUAUCUUUAUAAAAUGAAAUUUUAAAUUUAUAUAUGAAAAAAAUGUUAGGGGUUCAAAAUUUUUGGAUUAAGUUUUUAUAUUAAUUUUUAUAGUAUUUAGUUCAAAUUUUUAUAUUCUUAUUAUUCAAUUAUUAAAUAAUAGGUAAUUUUGUGACAGAGUAUAAAUGAAAAAAAAUUGGUAAUUAAGUUUAUUGAACAUUAUAAGUAAAUAUUUAAAACUAAUAAUGGGUACAAAAAGUUGUGUAAAUUGAUAACUUAGUUUGCAAAAAUGAAUUUAAAUUAGUUUACAAAAAGUUAAAAUAAAUGGAUUAUAAAUGGGUAAUUGGGUUAUCCAAUUCAUUUUUUGACUUACCCAUUUAUACCCAUCUAAUUAAAUAGGUAUAAAUGAGUUGACUCACUUAUACCCAUUACCCAUUUUACCCAACCCAAACCCGCCCAAGUCACCCAUUUUGACACCUCUAGCUGUGACCGGUGUAAAGGUUUCCAUUAGCAUGUUCGUAUCUCAGAAAACUUUUUCUAUGAGAAACAUUAUUUCCAAAAGCUAAACAGUAAAAUUAAUAGAAUGGAAAAAUCGUCCAACAGAUCAAAUUUGGUUCAAAGUUUUAUGCAUGAUUAAGUUUCUUUCUUAUUUAUUCUUAGGUAAGUUAUACUUUAUCAUCUUGUGUAUCAGAGCCUUUGCACAUAAUCCCUUCGUGAUUAAACUAAAGUGUCAAGCGAUAGGAGAUAACGUUCAAACUAUAGAAUCUCACCUCAAACAAAGACCCUAGGAAGUAAUUGGAUCUACCAUUGUUUUUGGUAUAAAAGUUCCUAUAAAAUUGGGAAAUGCCUAUAAUGGAUUAACUGAAAUGUCAAGAUUACCCUCGUUUCAAAGCUAAAAUGACUGGAAUGGCAAAAAUAUAUACAAAUGUAGUAUGCAUUACACUUUAGCCCCUAUAAUUUAGCAUUUUUGCAAAUAACCCUCUUACGAUUUUCUAAUCUAUGUAUAACCCUCAUCAUGUGGUUAAUAAAUAAUUUCCAUCUUGACAUUGGAAUAAUUCUAAUAUUUUAAUCAACUUUGCCACAAAGGAAAAAUGUGAGGAAACCAUAUUUUUAAUCAACUCUUAAAACCAUAGGAGAGCUAAGUGAUAGCUCAAUCCCACACCAUAAAGUUAAGACAUGUCAGACUAGAAUAUAAAUAGGAAUUUAAGAGUUCAAAUUAAAAUUGAGACAUUCAUUUUGUCCUAAUUAGGACGGAACUUAAAAUCUUAAAUAAUUAGAUUUGACCGCUAACGCUCGGGGUUAGGUGAACAGAUUUUCAAGCUAGGGCCUCUUUUUUGGAAUGAUAACCAAUUAUAAGGGUCCAUUUGGUUCAUGGAUGAUAUAGAAUUGGAUUAAUCAUCCUGUGUGUCAUUCCGUAUUUGGUUGCAUUUUAUAUAUAAGAUGACACAUUCCAAUUAAUCGAAUUAAUCCCCUAUAUAUGGGAUAAAAUAAUCCCAUGAAAGAGGUGAUAUUAGUCAUCCUGGAAUGACUAAGAGAUAGGAUGAUGAAAUAUUAGACUAACUUAUUCUUACAAAUAAUAUAAAUUUAUACUAUCAUAAUUAUAUAACCUUACCCUCACAUGAUAAUAUACUAUGAAUAGACUAAUUUGCCCCUACAAAUUAAUUUAUAAUUUUUGACUAAUUUGCUUCUACCACUAACAUAACAAUAUUUGAACUAAUUUGCUCUUGCGAAUGAUACAAAUUCAUACUGAAUAUUAUAUAACCAUAUUCUCACAUAAUAACAUGAUAAUAAAUGGAUUAAUUUGCCCCUACUAAUUAUAUUAAAAGAUUACUAAUUUGCCCCCAUUCAUUUUUUAAAAUUUUUGACAAAUUCACCCUUAUUAAUUAAUCUAAAUUUUUUGACUAAUUUGCCCCUACUUCAUAAUAAAAGGACUAUAUUAUCGGUGGACUAAAUUGCCCUUACAAACCUUAUUUUCUCAACCAAAUUCUAUAGAAAUACAUAACCUUAUCAAUUGGGCUUUGCAAAUGAGGGCUUCAAUAAGCUCCACCUUCGCCCAGAGAAAAAUUUUCUAUAUUGGCUUGAGUUUGGUUGAUUUAAGGGAUAAUUUCAGAAACCUCCCCUGAGGUUUCUGACAAUUUCAUUGAGCUCCCAUAAGAUUUGAAAAAUUGCACUUACCUCCCUUGAUUUGAUAGUUUUAGUAACAAAAUCUUAAAAUAAUAUUGACUUGGUCAAUUUUUAAAUGAAUACCCAAAAAUAUCCUUGUGUAAUGAGUUUUAAUUUAUUUUUCUAUACAAUUAUAAGAUUAUAUAAUAUAAUUAUAAGGAAAAUGUGCCAAAAUUUUCAUGUUCAUAUCUACUAUUUGAUAAACAACUAUAAUAAUAAUUUUAUUACUAUGAUAUGAUACUUUUGAUGGUAUUUUAUUAUGGAUUUAGAUUUAUAAGAUAGAAAAAAUAUUGAAAUAAUUAAUUUAGAAUUUAUGAAUUUUUGGAGUAGUGGGAUUAUCAUAAUUUAAUAGUGCUUUUGGGCCAUUUCUUUUUGAUUUAUUGUUACUUUUAAUACCAAAAAUAGAAAACAAAGAUCAGCAAAAAACAUUGGAUUACAUAUAAAAUUAAUUCGUCAAAAAAAUCACUAGUUCGACAUUUGGUUAUAAUAGAAACUAGGGCAAUAGUGGUAGUUUUACAAUUUUAUUAGCGAAAAAUUAGAAAAAAAUGAAUAAGAAGGAAAAAUAAUGAAAAAUAAUUUUAAAACUCAUUCUAAGUAUAAGUAUACAAAAUAAGGGAUUUUCAUUAAAAUAUUUAGGGUUAAAUGCAAAAAACCCCCACAAACUAUAUACCCAGUUGCAGUUUACCCCCUAAACUAUAAUAAUAAGCAUUUUCGCCCUUGAAUGAUAUGUUUGGACAACACUACCCCUACUAUCUUAAAUCCUUUCUCUUUUUUUUUUCUCUAUUAGCUUUUUUCAUUUUUUCCUUUUAUUUUCUUUUUUUCUCCUUCUCUCGUGGAACUAGCCAACGUCUCUCUCCGAUGUGAAAAGACUUACAUAAAAAAUUUUACAAUUUUUUAAACUGCUUUUUAAUUUCUUUAUUUGUUAAAUUCAUUCUUAAUUUUUUGUCAUAAAUUCUUUGUUAUUACAAAAUAUAAGUAGCUUAUAUUGUAAAGUGUAUUAAUCUAGUUAUUCAACAAUUUAAGUACCUAUAAACUAAUUAAGAGUUCACAGUUACUCAACUACUUAUAAUAAAAGUAACAUAUUAUAUAUCACAUAAAAAUGAAAAGUUAGCAAUUUUUAUUUGUAGUGAAAUAAAAAAUAAGAAUAAACAACAAUAGUAGUUCAUUUUGUUUGUUAUUGAUACUACUAAUAAUUGAUUAAUCAAUUUCUCUAUUUUAUUAUUAUAUAUUUGAAAAGUUCAAUUUCUUAAAUGACAUUGACUUCAAUAUUUGGAAAAAAAAUCUUGUAUUCCAUAGAUUUUUUUUUAUAAAAUAUUGACAUACGAAAUUAAGAAAUAAACAAAUUUUGACUAAUCUAGUCUACUUAUUUAAACAAUGUUUAAAGAAAAAAAAGGAAGAAUUUAAAAAGAUAAUGAUAGGGAAAAAAGAAAAAAUAACAAUGCUUAAAAUAAAAGGGGUAGAUUUGUCCAAACAUAUCAUUCAAGGGGGCAAAAUGCCUAUUAUUAUAGUUUAGGAGGUAAACUGCAACUGGGUAUAUAGUUUGUGGGGGUUUUUUGCAUUUAACCCAAAUAUUUAAGAGUACAAUUGUCAUUUUAAAUGACAAGGGAGGUAUGUGUAAUUUUUCAAACUUCAGGGGAGCUCAAUGAAAUUGUCAGAUAUCUCAGGGGAGGUUUCUGAAAUCAUCCCUUGAUUUAAAACUCUUAAGUGGGUUGGACUUUAUUCAAUUUAACCCUCGUUUAGCCAAAACUCGGCCAAUUUUUUAAUUGAAUUUCAAAUUUAGAUUCAAAAACUAGGUUAAACUUAUUUUUAAAGGUCCGAAUGGGUUGAGUUUGAGUGAAUGCAAAUUUUUAUAUAUUAAAACUCUUGAUUUAUUUUAUAAUUCUAAGGUUUCAAAUUAUUUUAUUUUAAUAAAAGUUAUAAAUUAUUAAAUUAUUUUACUAAAACGAUCCUACAAAUUAAGGGGUACUUUGAUCAUUAAAAUAGUAAUCUUAUCUCAUCUAAUAUCUAAUCAAACACAUGAUUGAGUUAUUUUUCAAUAUAUCAUAUUCAACCUAGAACCAACCAAACACUAGAUAACUUGGAUUAUUAAUUUGAGGAUGACUUAACCCAGGAUUAAUAAUCCAAGGAUGAGUCUUUCUAUUUCAUCUGGUCUGUGAACUAAACAAACCCUAAAGCCCUGAAAACAAAUAAAUUGGGUAAUAAGGUAGGAGCCUUUAUGCUUACAAAUCAAAUGAUUUGGAUGUAAAAUGGCUUAUCGUCCUCUCAACUGUAUAUAAAUCUAUGCCUUUUUUUAAUUUUGAAUAAUUACCAUUAUUUUAGUUCAACAGAUGGAUGGGCUAAAUGUAGACGUCUCACUACUAAAUGCACACGUUUUAUUAUUCAAUUAAAUAAAAAGAACAAAUGCUUAAAAUAGAGAAAACGAUCCUUUGCAGACUGAAUAAAAAGUUGGCAUUUUGGCAAAAAAAAAAAAAAAAGAGUUGGCGCGUCGAUAAAUCCCUGCAGACUGUAGUUUUUUUUUUUUCUCUUUUUUUUGGAGCAAAAUAGAAAAGAGUUAGAUAAAUCACCGUUUGUGCCACCACAAAAAUUACAGCAAAAUGCCACCUAUGAUAAAGCGAAUUCAUGCUAGAUAUAAAAUCUGUUUCAAUGGAAAAAAAAAGUUUAGUAAAACUUUUAAGUGCAUUUAUUUCAAAUGAAUGCAAUUAUUGGAACUAAUUACACAUAAUAAUCACUACAAAUGAAUAUUCAAAAAUAGCUCAAUAAAAAUAUAGUUACCUGUAUGUUCAAACAUGAGGGAAGACGGCAAUAAAGGCACGGGGAGCUGGGGAAUAAGAUCAAUUAUAUUCCCAGAUAUUGGUGGCUAAAAAACUUCUUUAACCCAAUCUUCAAAUGCUCGAGCAGAGUUGAGCCGGUUGACUUCAACUUUUAAAUCAGCAUGACUAACACGACAAAACAAGAAAAUAAAAUGUUUAAAGCAUACAUUUAUUUUCCAAGUAAAAAUCCAUAAGUAUGUAUCUCUUCAAGAGUGCACCAGCUAGCAAUUUCACCUCGGAGCUUCAGAUCUGCAUACAGCUGCAAAUCCAAAGAAAGCCACGCGUUAUCCCUUCCCACCAAGAAGAUAUCCAUUUCCUUGCUAGGGAGUGAAUUAAGACUGACAGGGUGUCGAAGCCUGUGCAAUAAUAAAUACCUGCUCAAACUAAAAUUAAUUUCUGUAGAUAGCGGUGAGCAGGGUCGAAUCCACAGGGACUGGGAGUAAUUGUUUCUUUUCAAGUUCACAGUGACAAGGGGGGUGUUUUUAUGCAGAAAGUGACAAUCAAAUAAAUGCAAAUAAAAUCUAAGAAGCUACUAAAAAUUAAAUAACAAAUUACCAAAAUCAAAUGAAUGAUAAUUAAGGAUCUAGCCAAGGAAUAACUUCAGCAAUGGUUCACCCAAUUGAUCAUCGAUAAGCAAAGGCAAUCCCAAUUAUUUACUAAUAAAUAGGUUAUAACUGCCAAACAAGCGAUGACAGUCAACCCCUCCUUACUGUGUCGAUGAUUAAGGUACGCCCGUUAAUCACUGCUCUAAUUGAGAAAUAAUCCUAGGUACGCCCGUAGAAUUUAAUUCCCCAAUUGCCUUACGUAUUAGAGGAGCCCUAUUCUAAUCAAAUAACGCACUACCAGGGUUAUUUUAGAUUAGCCCGUGUAUUCCCCUGACACAAGUCUAAUUAUGCCAGUUGCCACUAUUUUAGAGCAAUUAAACAAUUACGGAUUUAAUGCCCUAAUUGACAAUAGAUUAUCCAAUCAACUAAUUAUCUGGAUCCAAGACAAUCAAUUAAUUAAAUAACCAUAAACAUAGCAACCAAGAAAUAUGCGGAUACCAAUAAAUAAAAGAAAAAGAUAAAAUUAAAUCGAUCUCACAAAUUUUAGGCGACCCAGAGCCUUCGUUGUCCCUUGACUAGACAAAGGGAUUUAGUUCAUGUUUGCAGAACAAAGCCCAAACAGAAUUGCAGAGAGAGACGCAGCCAUCAAUUGGGCAAAUGCCCAAGUUCAAUUCGUUUGAAGGAGUAAGCUAAGCUAUCCUGCCAUGCGUAAGAAAAGUAAAAAGCAAAGCUCCAGGAAAAGUCAACAAUAAAGCUCCUAAGCUACAGACGAAAGACUAAGCAAAGCCAGCCAUCCUUUCCUCUCUGAAGCAUUCUACUCUAAUGCCUCGCCAUUGUGCGGCGGCUCUCCUCCGAGAGGAGGAAAAUUCGAGAGAGACCCAAGAAGACUUCGGCCUCCUCCUUUUAAUGCUGUCUGCGGGCCAAUUACCAAGAAGGGUUGUGGUUUGAUAUUCCAAAAAUGUCCCUAGAUGCCUGCUACUUGAACUCUUUCUUGAUAAUUGUCAAAUUGGCCUUGAUUGUGAUAUUUUUGUUCUACUCCCUGAAAUAAAUAUAAAUUACGAAAAAUGAGUAGAAUCUAAUAAUUAAUUCAUAUCAAGUUAGGUAAUAGGGGAAAUUAAUAAUAAAAUAAAUGACAAAAUUGCAACCUAUCAA
rnacentral:lncRNA from 1 species